GCAGGAUUUGAAGCCAAUAUUCACAAGAUGAAGUCUGGAUGAAGAGCAACACAGGAGGGGUCUUCCAGGUGUAUUGAAUGAGAAGACUGAAGGCACUGUCCACAUGGGUAGGAAGUAUUAGAAGAGACUGCAAUUAGAAGAUUUUUGGGUAAGUCGAAGCUUUGUCCAAGAAGGCAACUGCCAUUUGCAACCCUACUUUGUCAAUGAAACCUGUUGCAUUAAAACCUUCAAACUUAUCUUCAACUGAAAAAGAUUUUUGCCGAGUGCACAUUUCACUGGCCUGCACUAUCACUGGAAGCAGAGAAGUUGGUGCAAGGCUUAGUACGCACCCUUUCUUCAGAGCCUUCACUGGCAGACAGGGACAUGCAUCAUCCAACCCAGGUCUGAACAGCGAGUUCAGAAGCCAUUUCAUUAUUUAAAUUUCCGAUCUGCAGUGUUGUAUGAAAUACUGUUAGGAACUCUCUGCUUUAGGAUCUGUAGAAUAUCAACACACUUCCAAACCUAAAUCUAAAGCGGUGGUGCUUAAUAAUUUAUAUGACCGCCUCUUCCCGACCAUCCCCCUCCCCGCCACCCCACCCCUCCCCAAGUGUUGUUAAAAAUAAUGAAAUAGAGGAUCGACACUCUCAGAGAAUGUAACACGCCAAUUUAUGAUUCUAAUUCUCUGUUUGGUCAUCUGAAAUAUACUAUUUUAACAGCUUUAUGCCUUUCGCAGGUAUUUCUUAAAAGCAAUUCCUACUUGCAUUACUGUUCCGUAAAUGUUUUGGCUUGAAAGAGAAAAUGUGUCCUUCAAACAAGUUUAUUUCUUUCAGGGCUACUUCUGUAUGUGAAUUCCUCCUGGUGACUACCCCGUGUUUUCUGUUAUCACCUUCUCAGGGUUCAAUUCAUUACCCCUGUUCAUUAUUCAAUUUGUUGGGCUUUGAGCACCUGAAUAAUUGAAAGCUAUGCAAGUAUUAUAAAUUAUAUUGUCCACACUCAUAAUCCCCAUUUUAGAGUUUAUAGCUUCACUGUAAAAAUUCACUGUGUUGGAACCUUACAUACAAGGUCUUAUAUUGAAAACAAAUUAAUUUAUAAAUACAUUUUUUUUCUCCCCCAAACUCAAUAUUUAUCAAAUCUUACAUUUUUCAGUUAUGGUUUUUAUGGCUUUUACUGCCAUAGCAAGACCAAUGAAAAGAAUGUUUUACACGAUCACUAUUUCAUUCUUUUUUUGCAACAAAUAUUUAUGGAAUGACUAUUCCUUUGACAGUGGGAGGCUGGGGUGAGGUCAGCCUAUUCUCUUCGGAGAUGAAAGGGAAAGCAGCCCUUUCAGUGAUGGCUUCCACCUCCUGAUGGCACUCCCAAGAGAGAACAAAAAAUACACCCUCAACAAAUCCUAAGUGGUCCUGUCUCUGUAGCCUUUGCCCCUUGGCUCUCCCUGGUCCA
rnacentral:lncRNA from 1 species